rnacentral:rRNA from 1 species
GAUGAACGCUGGCGGCGUGCUUAACACAUGCAAGUCGAACGAUGAAGCCCAGCUUGCUGGGUGGAUUAGAGGCGAACGGGUGAGUAACACGUGAGUAACCUGCCCUUAACUCUGGGAUAAGCCUGGGAAACUGGGUCUAAUACCGGAUAGGAGCGUCCACCGCAUGGUGGGUGUUGGAAAGAUUUAUCGGUUUUGGAUGGACUCGCGGCCUAUCAGCUUGUUGGUGAGGUAAUGGCUCACCAAGGCGACGACGGGUAGCCGGCCUGAGAGGGUGACCGGCCACACUGGGACUGAGACACGGCCCAGACUCCUACGGGAGGCAGCAGUGGGGAAUAUUGCACAAUGGGCGCAAGCCUGAUGCAGCGACGCCGCGUGAGGGAUGACGGCCUUCGGGUUGUAAACCUCUUUCAGUAGGGAAGAAGCGAAAGUGACGGUACCUGCAGAAGAAGCACCGGCUAACUACGUG